rnacentral:ncRNA from 23 species
AUAAUCAAUCCCGUUUCGGGUGCCUUGCUCCGCAGUCACGGGGCGGGUGAAACGGGAAGCCGGUGAAGUUGGCCGUCCAUGGUGACGGUGACCCAUUCCGGCGCAGCCCCCGCUGCUGUAAGCCUGACGACUCCGCAAUCCGCCACUGUGCCCAGGCACGGGAAGGCGCGGGGAAGAUCGAGGGCAAGCCAGAAGACCGGCCCGAAACCGGAUUGCACCA